UACAGAGGUCUCAAGCGUUGUUCGGAUUCAUUGGGCGUAAAGGGCGCGUAGGCGGGUGCUCAAGUCUGUGGUGAAAUCCUCCGGCUCAACUCCAGAACUGCCCUUGAUACUGGCGAUCUUGAGUCCGGAAGAGGUGAGUGGAACUCCGAGUGUAGAGGUGAAAUUCGUAGAUAUUCGGAAGAACACCAGUGGCGAAGGCGGCUCACUGGUCCGGUACUGACGCUGAGGUGCGAAAGCGUGGGGAGCAAACAGG
rnacentral:rRNA from 1 species